GGACACAACAAAGCCAGCAGGUUUCAGAGAGGACAAUGCUAAGAUGUCCUUGUUAACAUCUGGACCAAAGGAAGAGGAAGAGUCAUCUUCUUGGGAUUCGGAUUCGGAGGAGGAGACAAGAAAGCCAGCAGGUUUAAGAGAGGAAAAUGGUAUGAAUAUUAUGGAAAAUGCUCAACAAGAGCAAAAAAAUAAUGUCACUUUUACUGUAACACGUGAAAAUAACAGAAGCGAUAAAUCAGUGAAUAUAUCUGAGAUUUUUCCAUGUGUAAAUACUGUUGUAAAGGCACCACUUAACCUAUGUGGUUUCAUAUGUAACAACCAUUUCCUGUAAUUAUUUUUCUUUUCCUGUUUUCCUUCAUAUGGCCUAC